AUGAUCACAUCCCUACAGAGGAGUAUGAAACAAACGUCUCCAUAUCAUGCCCACAAAGUGAACAAUUACUUAGUCCCUGCACUUGUCUUCGUUUUAGUUCUGCUGCACACGGCCGCAAGUUCUUCAGAGCCCUCCGUCCCAACACUCACUUGGGCAUCUGAAAGUGUAGAUUUUGUACAAUUAGGCCUUGUUUGGCCUCAAGGGGAGAUGUUCCCAGGGAAGAGUUGCCCUGGGUGGAAUAUUCUUAGCAAAACAGAAUCCCCUUGGAAAAUCCGCUUCACCAUUUCGGAGGAGCAGGGGCUAAUAGCUUCUUCUCGGGUCAACUGCUCAUACUCUUUUUUGACAGGGUGA
rnacentral:rRNA from 1 species